GCCUGGCUGGCUCAGUCUGUAGAGCAUGAGAUUCUUGACUUCGGAGUCUUGAGUUCAAACCCCAUGUUGGGCU
rnacentral:tRNA from 1 species